rnacentral:piRNA from 1 species
UGUGCAGUUUCUGAGGGCAUGAGAAGCUCC